AGAUACUUCACCACUAUCAUGUCCAUUUAUACAGAUGAGGACACUGAGGCUCAGAACGGUCAAAUAACUUGCUUGAGGUCACACAGCUGCCUUGUCAUGGAUCUGUCCUCGAGAGCUAACUGAAUGGUAUCCUAACGAUGUAUGUGCAUGUGUAUACAACCCGAGGAAAAUGACCUCCUCUGUAACUUCCAGAAGACCAACACCAGCAAAUGCUCCAUAGGACCUUGGACUUGACACAUCCAGAAAUUCCUCAAAUCAGGCCCCCUGUCUAUUGUGGCUUGACUGAGGCUCCACCAGAGUGCUGAAC